GACAGAGGGUGCAAACGUUGUUCGGAAUUACUGGGCGUAAAGCGCGUGUAGGCUGCUUCGCAAGUCGGAUGUGAAAGCCCUGGGCUCAACCCAGGAAGUGCAUUCGAAACUGCAGAGCUGGAGUCCUGGAGAGGAAGGCGGAAUUCUCGGUGUAGAGGUGAAAUUCGUAGAUAUCGAGAGGAACACCGGUGGCGAAGGCGCCUAUCUGGCCCGAUACUGACGCUGAGGCGCGAAAGCUAGGGGAGCAAACGGG
rnacentral:rRNA from 1 species